UGGGAGGAGGCCUGUGCAAUGAGCAGAACCACAAAGCAUAGUUCUCUUGCAUAGACAUAACAAGAAGCUGCCAAUGGCGCCUGAAAUUCAUAAUAAUUUAACUAUUAAAUAUUAAAAUCACAUAUGGAACUUGAUUAUGUUAACAAAGUUCACUUACCCGGAUAUAUAAGGCAAAAAGUAUAUUUUCUUGCCGCUUNCAAAACUUCUUAUCAGAUUCAUGUUGAUCUGAUCAAAAUCAUUUGAUUCAUGAAUUGNUUGNGGAUCNAUGAAUCCAUAAUCAUCAGAACG
rnacentral:lncRNA from 1 species